UAAUUGCUUCCGCCUGCUCCUUCUCUAUCUAAUCCUUUUAUAUGCAUUUUUAAUUAUUCAGUUUUUUGUUGUUAAAUUCUGAUUGUUUGAGUUUUCUGUUUUUCAUUUU